UACGUAGGUGGCAAGCGUUGUUCGGAAUUAUUGGGCGUAAAGGGCUCGUAGGUGGCCAACUAAGUCAGACGUGAAAUCCCUCGGCUUAACCGGGGAACUGCGUCUGAUACUGGAUGGCUUGAGUUCGGGAGAGGGAUGCGGAAUUCCAGGUGUAGCGGUGAAAUGCGUAGAUAUCUGGAGGAACACCGGUGGCGAAGGCGGCAUCCUGGACCGACACUGACACUGAGGAGCGAAAGCCAGGGGAGCAAACGGG
rnacentral:rRNA from 1 species